GAUGAACGCUGGCGGCGUGCCUAAUACAUGCAAGUCGAGCGAACAGACGAGGAGCUUGCUCCUCUGACGUUAGCGGCGGACGGGUGAGUAACACGUGGAUAACCUACCUAUAAGACUGGGAUAACUUCGGGAAACCGGAGCUAAUACCGGAUAAUAUAUUGAACCGCAUGGUUCAAUAGUGAAAGACGGUUUUGCUGUCACUUAUAGAUGGAUCCGCGCCGCAUUAGCUAGUUGGUAAGGUAACGGCUUACCAAGGCAACGAUGCGUAGCCGACCUGAGAGGGUGAUCGGCCACACUGGAACUGAGACACGGUCCAGACUCCUACGGGAGGGAGCAGUAGGGAAUCUUCCGCAAAGGGCGAAAGCUUGACGGAGCAACGCCGCGUGAGUGAUGAAGGUCUUCGGAUCGUAAAACUCUGUUAUUAGGGAAGAACAAAUGUGUAAGUAACUAUGCACGUCUUGACGGUACCUAAUCAGAAAGCCACGGCUAACUACGUG
rnacentral:rRNA from 1 species